UCGGGAAUUUUGGGCAAUGGGCGAAAGCCUGACCCAGCAACGCCGCGUGAGGGAUGAAGUAUUUCGGUAUGUAAACCUCGAAAGAAUGGGAAGAAUAAAUGACGGUACCAUUUAUAAGCUCCGGCUAACUACGUGCCAGCAGCCGCGGUAAUACGUAGGGAGCAAGCGUUGUUCGGAUUUACUGGGCGUAAAGGGCGCGUAGGCGGCGCGGUAAGUCACUUGUGAAAUCUCUGAGCUUAACUCAGAACGGCCUAGUGAUACUGCUGUGCUAGAGUGCGGAAGAGGCAACCGGAAUUCUUGGUGUAGCGGUGAAAUGCGUAGAUAUCAAGAGGAACACCUGAGGCGAAGGCGGGUUGCUGGGCCGACACUGACGCUGAUGCGCGAAAGCCAGGGGAGCAAACG
rnacentral:rRNA from 1 species